CUCUUUCUGAAAAUAAGAUGUUGGGACCAGGAAUGCACAUGUAAAUGUGCCAGCCAAUAAAGGCUUUGAAGAUGUUGGGUCUGAAAGGCCAGGACAAUUUCACUUGGUUAGUAUCAUCCAGGGUGGUUCCCAUGGGCUACACUGAUCAGCAGCCAGCUGAUGAGCCAGCAGUCCUAAUAGGUACUUUGUUGAUUUUCCCCAAAUGUCUCAGUACUCCCAAACCACCCAACCAAGCUCUUAUGCUGAAUCACAGCCAUUGUGACAAGGCAUCAUUAAUCAUCAGGUCCUUUUGCCAGGAGCUCCCAUGUCAUGGGCACUUGUCUCUGUAUAUAAAAGGAGUGAUGGGUGGGCUGCUUUGAAUGAAGGGACCUGGGGCGGGGGAGGGGGGCAGCAGAUAGAGGCUGCCGCGGCAACCAGAUCCCUGCUGCUGGCCAGAAUUGGGAAAUAUAAGAAGAUGAUGCAGUCCUGUAGAUGUAAGUGUUCAGCGUGCCAUCUGAAGGAUUUACUACAGAGACAGAAAGCAAAGAAGUUAUGGAAGAAAAAGAUCAGGAAGACAAGUCAGCAGCAUAUGCCAAUGAUCUGGUUGAAGACACUGCUCAAACCCAUGACUUUCGGCGUCACAGUUUUUCCCAUGGCCAGCAAUAAGAAAAGCCUCUUUCGGUGCAGGCCCCAGAACACCAUAAUCAUCUUCGAUUUUACCUCUCUGCCCAGGGUCUUUUAAGUAAAAUUUCCCUCCUUUCACUGACAAA